rnacentral:rRNA from 1 species
AGUGAACGCUGGCGGUAUGCCUAACACAUGCAAGUCGAACGGCAGCACAGUAAGAGCUUGCUCUUACGGGUGGCGAGUGGCGGACGGGUGAGGAAUACAUCGGAAUCUACUUUUUCGUGGGUGAUAACGUAGAGAAACUUACGCUAAUACCGCAUACGACCUACGGCUGAAAGCAGGGGAUCUUCGUACCUUUCGCGAUUGACUGAGCCGAUGUCGGAUUAGCUAGUUGGCGGGGUAAAGUCCCACCAAGGCGACGAUCCGUAGCUGGUCUGAGAGGAUGAUCAGCCACACUGGAACUGAGACACGGUCCAGACUCCUACGGGAGGCAGCAGUGGGGAAUAUUGGACAAUGGGCGCAAGCCUGAUCCAGCCAUACCGCGUGGGUGAAGAAGGCCUUCGGGUUGUAAAGCCCUUUUGUUGGGAAAGAAAAGCAGCAGGUUAAUACCUCGCUGUUCUGACGGUACCCAAAGAAUAAGCACCGGCUAACUUCGUG